rnacentral:rRNA from 1 species
AUUGAACGCUGGCGGAAUGCUUUACACAUGCAAGUCGGGCGGCAGCGCGGGGGCAACCCUGGCGGCGAGCGGCGAACGGGUGAGUAACAUAUCGGAACGUACCUACUUGAGGGGGAUAACGCAUCGAAAGGUGUGCUAAUACCGCAUAAGUCCUGAGGGAGAAAGCUGGGGAUCGCAAGACCUAGCGCGAGUAGAGCGGCCGAUAUCUGAUUAGCUAGUUGGUAGGGUAAAGGCCUACCAAGGCGACGAUCAGUAGCUGGUCUGAGAGGACGACCAGCCACACUGGGACUGAGACACGGCCCAGACUCCUACGGGAGGCAGCAGUGGGGAAUUUUGGACAAUGGGGGAAACCCUGAUCCAGCCAUUCCGCGUGAGUGAAGAAGGCCUUCGGGUUGUAAAGCUCUUUCGGCGGGGACGAAAAGGUUAGGGUAAAUAAUCCUAAUUCAUGACGGUACCCGAAGAAGAAGCACCGGCUAACUACGUG